UCCGUAGGGACCAAGCGUUGUUCGGAUUUACUGGGCGUAAAGCGUGCGCAGGCGGUGAUGUAAGACAGGUGUGAAAUCCCCGGGCUUAACCUGGGAACUGCAUUUGUGACUGCAUCGCUGGAGUGCGGCAGAGGGGGAUGGAAUUCCGCGUGUAGCAGUGAAAUGCGUAGAUAUGCGGAGGAACACCGAUGGCGAAGGCAAUCCCCUGGGCCUGCACUGACGCUCAUGCACGAAAGCGUGGGGAGCAAACAGG
rnacentral:rRNA from 1 species